ACGAACGCUGGCGGCGUGCCUAAUACAUGCAAGUAGCACGCUGAAGGCGGAGCUUGCUUCUCUGGAUGAGUUGCGAACGGGUGAGUAACGCGUAGGUAACCUGCCUGGUAGCGGGGGAUAACUAUUGGAAACGAUAGCUAAUACCGCAUAAUAGCAGUUGUUGCAUGAUAACUGUUUGAAAGGUGCAAUUGCACCACUACCAGAUGGACCUGCGUUGUAUUAGCUAGUUGGUGGGGUAACGGCUCACCAAGGCGACGAUGCAUAGCCGACCUGAGAGGGUGAUCGGCCACACUGGGACUGAGACACGGCCCAGACUCCUACGGGAGGCAGCAGUAGGGAAUCUUCGGCAAUGGACGGAAGUCUGACCGAGCAACGCCGCGUGAGUGAAGAAGGUUUUCGGAUCGUAAAGCUCUGUUGUAAGAGAAGAACGAGUGUGAGAGUGGAAAGUUCACACUGUGACGGUAUCUUACCAGAAAGGGACGACUAACUACGUG
rnacentral:rRNA from 1 species